CCUACCCUUAGGACCGGGAUAACCCUGGGAAACUGGGGAUAAUACUGGAUAGGCAAUUUUUCCUGUAAUGGUUUUUUGUUUAAAUGUUUUUUUUCGCCUAAGGAUAGGUCUGCGGCUGAUUAGGUCGUUGGUGGGGUAAUGGCCCACCAAGCCGAUGAUCGGUACGGGUUGUGAGAGCAAGGGCCCGGAGAUGGAACCUGAGACAAGGUUCCAGACCCUACGGGGUGCAGCAGGCGCGAAACCUCCGCAAUGUACGAAAGUGCGACGGGGGGAUCCCAAGUGCCAUUCUUAACGGGAUGGCUUUUCAUUAGUGUAAAAAGCUUUUAGAAUAAGAGCUGGGCAAGACCGGUGCCAGCCGCCGCGGUAACACCGGCAGCUCUAGUGGUAGCAACUUUUAUUGGGCCUAAAGCGUCCGUAGCCGGUUUAAUAAGUCUCUGGUGAAAUC
rnacentral:rRNA from 1 species